ACACUCCUGCGGGAGGCAGCAGUGGGGAAUUUUGGACAAUGGGCGAAAGCCUGAUCCAGCAAUGCCGCGUGAGUGAAGAAGGCCUUCGGGUUGUAAAGCUCUUUUGUCAGGGAAGAAACGGUGAGAGCUAAUAUCUCUUGCUAAUGACGGUACCUGAAGAAUAAGCACCGGCUAACUACGUGCCGGCAGCCGCGGUAAUACGUAGGGUGCAAGCGUUAAUCGGAAUUACUGGGCGUAAAGCGUGCGCAGGCGGUUUUGUAAGUCUGAUGUGAAAUCCCCGGGCUCAACCUGGGAAUUGCAUUGGAGACUGCAAGGCUAGAAUCUGGCAGAGGGGGGUAGAAUUCCACGUGUAGCAGUGAAAUGCGUAGAUAUGUGGAGGAACACCGAUGGCGAAGGCAGCCCCCUGGGUCAAGAUUGACGCUCAUGCACGAAAGCGUGGGGAGCAAACAGGAUUAGAAACCCCUGUAGUCCCAUGA
rnacentral:rRNA from 1 species